UGAGUCAGCGUACGGCCGACUUGUCGAACAGCACCCGGUGACUCUGGGGGGUGAGGCGCCAGAUAAGACUCUGCGUGCUGAAAUCUCAGCUAGCUUUCAGCGGAAGCUGUACGAGCGAUUGUUUGAAGGCACAGAUGAAACUGCACAAGCAGCAUAUUCACUUGAGGAAAAGGUCAGCAAGUGGAGGACCAACAUACCCAGUGCAGCCCAGUUCGUGAAGAAUGGAAGCCCCCUGGAUCCAUGGACACAGCAAUGGACGCUAAACAAAGCCGGACACGCACCAGGACCCAGAAGUGAAAGGACUUCUUGUGACAGAAGAUGAAGGGCAAGGGCAUUAUUGCAACGUAAAGAUUUCCGGCUGGCGAGGUGGUGUGUGACCAUCACGGGCAGGUCAUCACAGCCUCAGAGGGACACAGCGCUCACAGCACUGUAAGUGUGGAGGACGGUCUUCAGGUUUUUUUCAAGAACAUGAAUGGACAGGCUAGGUGCAUCUAUCAAGACUCUAAAAUCAUGAAUCUAAUAUCACUGUGCCCUGCGAGGGACUGGCACCCUGUCCAGGGUGUACCCUGCCUUGUGCCCGAUGCUUCCUGGGAUAGGCUCCAGGUUCCCCCGCAACCCUGAAAAGGAGUAAGCAGUUGAGGAUGGAUGGAUCUAAUAUCAGGUUUGCUGAGCGCAACAUUGUCCACUGCUUGCUGUGCAAGAAGCCGCAGAAGCAUCUCGCUGGCCACCUGCUAGAGUGUGUAUGAAAGACAGCACAGCAGAAGAAAGGCAAGCUGAGAUCCAGAAGGCCAAGGUAUCUUCCAGACGGUGGGUCUGCAGGAACAGGACCUGGGACUACCGCCAGCUUUGUUCUAUCCUGCCCCACAGUCCGUGUGCUUCUUUACUGGUGGAAGAGUUUCAGAGGCGUGGGUUCUUUAUCACCAACAUGCCACAAGAGUCAGACAUGGCUAUGGACUCCGGUGAUGCCGCCUCCUCACAACAGGGUUCGCCUUCUG
ensembl:lncRNA